AUUGAACGCUGGCGGCAGGCUUAACACAUGCAAGUCGAGCGGGGAAAGGUAGCUUGCUACCUGACCUAGCGGCGGACGGGUGAGUAAUGCUUAGGAAUCUGCCUAUUAGUGGGGGACAACAUCUCGAAAGGGAUGCUAAUACCGCAUACGUCCUACGGGAGAAAGCAGGGGACCUUCGGGCCUUGCGCUAAUAGAUGAGCCUAAGUCGGAUUAGCUAGUUGGUGGGGUAAAGGCCUACCAAGGCGACGAUCUGUAGCGGGUCUGAGAGGAUGAUCCGCCACACUGGAACUGAGACACGGCCCAGACUCCUACGGGAGGCAGCAGUGGGGAAUAUUGGACAAUGGGGGGAAGCCUGAUCCAGCCAUGCCGCGUGUGUGAAGAAGGCCUUUUGGUUGUAAAGCACUUUUAGCGAGGAGGAGGCUACCGAGAUUAAUACUCUUGGAUAGUGGACGUUACUCGCAGAAUAAGCACCGGCUAACUCUGU
rnacentral:rRNA from 1 species